ACCAACCCCAAUUUUGUGAGCAUUCAUGGCCCACCAUACAAUUUCUAUUCCCCGAUGUGGCCCUUAGGCUAUAACGGGUGGGCAACAUUUUAAGCCCAUCUUGGUGAUACUGCUGCUUCUUAGUGGGGGAUGAGUGUUUACCAGUGCAAGGCAUUCCUUCCUCUCAGUUGGUCCUAGUCACAGUUCAGGCAAGUCUUCCCUUUGCACCCUCUCACAGGAAAGAGCACCAUGGGAAGUAAACUGAAGCUUUUAAAAAAAACAAAACACCAUUAUGCCCUGCUCUAACAAAAGAUAGUUCAGGGUAUUUGGAGUCACUGUUAAUCUCUUGUAUAGUACAUGUAGGAAUAAUGGCAAACCAUAAAAAUGGUAUGCAGGUUACAAGAUUUGACAUUUUACAUCUUAAUUUGAAAAAAAUAGUAACAGUAGUGCAAGUCAAGUGCUGAAAGCUGGGUUGGUAGAGCCUAGGUUAGUUGUAUAGCAGAUGGAAGAGUGAAAAUAAGACUUAAUUCAGUGUCAGUACAGGCUUAUAGUUUUGCUUUUUUUAAAAGUAGUGCUUCUGUAUUAGGCCAGCUGAAAACAUGCUUUGAAAUAGCUUAGGGUCAACUUCAGGAAGUUAAAUGUAGUAAAAUUUUUUUUGAAAAUCCUGAUUCUGCUAUAGCCUGGGCUUGAUUUAUAUCAAGUAUUGCAAAUACAGCUGAAGCAGGGUUUUAAAAACUUACUACAAUCAAGUUAUUGAAGUUGACUAAGCUAUUUCAAAGCAUGUUUUCAGUUGGCUUAAUACAAAAUCAAAGUGUGAACUACUCACUACCAAUGACAUUUGGCAGUAUGAAUACUGCAGCAGUUUCAACUCUGUACCUGUAUUUAUUCAUAUGUAAUUCCUUUGGUUUUCAUCUUCCUCAAUAUUCCAGCAGUAGUGUUGCCAACUAUUCCUGAAAAUGUUGAUUUAUUUUACAAAUGCUAAUAGGGGAGACCUGAGGAAGUUACUUAUGUAGUCAGUGAAACUAAAAUAUACUUAGUCAUGUGUCUAAUCCAUACAGCUCAAAUUAAAUUUAGUGACAAAUCCUUAGUCUACCUGUGCUGUGGGUUUCUAGUGAAUAAUUGAGAAUGCCUCUACUUAAAUUUAUCCUAGAAAACAAAGACUUGUGAAUUUUCCCAGCUCUUCUACAAUUCAGUUAAGGUAAAAAACCUUAAAAUAAGCAUGAGCACUGCACAGCAGUUUAAUGUGGGUGAACAGGAGAGAAUGUACUGGCUGGUAAGGACAGUCAUACCAAAAAGGUAGUUGUCCCCUUCUUACAAAUAGUCCUUGCGCUGCUGGCACUAGGGACAAAAUUUGAUCUCUAUUGAAAAGCAAAUUACAAGUUUGUCAAUGGUCAGGCAGAGUUUGAGUUACCAUCCAUGGAUGAACACCACUUACAGUAGGCUUUAAAAUAUUAAGAGCAGAGAUUAGUAAAAUAUACUGCAGGUAAGUUAAAUUUCAGUUACAGCAGUUUCACUUAAGUGGCCAACAGGUGUUUUAGUUCUAUUUAAUUUUUUUAAUAGGUUCUUCCCCU